UAGGGAAUCUUCGGCAAUGGACGAAAGUCUGACCGAGCAACGCCGCGUGAGUGAAGAAGGUUUUCGGAUCGUAAAACUCUGUUGUUAGAGAAGAACAAGGACGUUAGUAACUGAACGUCACCUGACGGUAUCUAACCAGAAAGCCACGGCUAACUACGUGCCAGCAGCCGCGGUAAUACGUAGGUGGCAAGCGUUGUCCGGAUUUAUUGGGCGUAAAGCGAGCGCAGGCGGUUUCUUAAGUCUGAUGUGAAAGCCCCCGGCUCAACCGGGGAGGGUCAUUGGAAACUGGGAGACUUGAGUGCAGAAGAGGAGAGUGGAAUUCCAUGUGUAGCGGUGAAAUGCGUAGAUAUAUGGAGGAACACCAGUGGCGAAGGCGGCUCUCUGGUCUGUAACUGACGCUGAGGCUUGAAAGCGUGGGGAGCAAACAGG
rnacentral:rRNA from 1 species